AUUGAACGCUGGCGGCAUGCUUUACACAUGCAAGUCGAACGGUAACAGGCCGCAAGGUGCUGACGAGUGGCGAACGGGUGAGUAAUGCAUCGGAACGUGCCCAGUCGUGGGGGAUAACUACUCGAAAGAGUAGCUAAUACCGCAUACGAUCUAUGGAUGAAAGCGGGGGACCGUAAGGCCUCGCGCGAUUCGAGCGGCCGAUGUCAGAUUAGGUAAUUGGGGGGGUAAAGGCUCACCAAGCCAACGAUCUGUAGCUGGUCUGAGAGGACGACCAGCCACACUGGGACUGAGACACGGCCCAGACUCCUACAGGAGGCAGCAGUGGGGAAUUUUGGACAAUGGGCGCAAGCCUGAUCCAGCAAUGCCGCGUGCAGGAAGAAGGCCUUCGGGUUGUAAACUGCUUUUGUACGGACCGAAACGGCUCUGGUUAAUACCCGCGGCUAAUGACGGUACCGUAAGAAUAAGCACCGGCUAACUACGUG
rnacentral:rRNA from 1 species